rnacentral:rRNA from 1 species
GGGGAAUUUUGGACAAUGGGCGCAAGCCUGAUCCAGCAAUGCCGCGUGCAGGAAGAAGGCCUUCGGGUUGUAAACUGCUUUUGUACGGAACGAAACGGUCCUGGUUAAUACCUGGGGCUAAUGACGGUACCGUAAGAAUAAGCACCGGCUAACUACGUGCCAGCAGCCGCGGUAAUACGUAGGGUGCGAGCGUUAAUCGGAAUUACUGGGCGUAAAGCGUGCGCAGGCGGUGCUGUAAGACAGGCGUGAAAUCCCCGGGCUCAACCUGGGAAUUGCGCUUGUGACUGCAGUGCUGGAGUACGGCAGAGGGGGAUGGAAUUCCGCGUGUAGCAGUGAAAUGCGUAGAUAUGCGGAGGAACACCGAUGGCGAAGGCAGUCCCCUGGGCCUGUACUGACGCUCAUGCACGAAAGCGUGGGGAGCAAACA